rnacentral:lncRNA from 1 species
UGAACCAACAAUAAAACAAACAAACAAAAAAGUAGAAAAGGAAGGAAGGAAAGCAAAAGGGGAAAGAAGGGCAUGAAAAUAGAAGGGUGGAGGCUAGUUGAAAAAAAGAUUAAUGAAAGGGAGAGGGGGAGCCAAGAUAGGGUAACAGGGAUGAAUGUGAUUCAAACAUACAUGACAAGGUCAUAAUAAACCCAUUACCAUAUAUGACUAAUGUAUGGUCAUAAUACAGGUUUAAAGGGGAAGAUAAGAAUGAACAGAUUCAAACAACCAUAGUUCUUGCUUACCACUGCAUUUGUACCAGCUAGUCCAGAACAAUCAACCAACGAACUUGCAAGAGCACUUCAGAAUGCUUCUGCUCGCAAUGAACUGGCCCAGGCCAAACCCAUGACUGUACUUAAGACAAAGAAUGAGUCUCUGUGUUCUGGAAGAAAAAGAGGAUCCAGCUGAAAAGGAAAACAGAAGGAGUUACUGGCAAAAUACCACACGGGACAAUGAACAGCGGACUUCUGCAAAACGCAUGGUGAACCUGCUCCAUGAUCAGACUAGCUGAGCCUGACAUCUGCACCCUUCUAACUUCCCUGACUUCCAUGACCUCCAUCUUCUGCUUGGGUUUGAUCAACCGGGGGCACCAAUGGAAGGCCAGGCAGUAGAAGACAAGGACCCUUUCAAUGUCAGACCAUAGCUGGCUGCUGAGUCCCCCACACCUCCAAGCCUCUGCUCUCCAAAGACUGCCUGUUUUUAGCCCAGGUACAUGCUUGGCUCUGCCUCCUGCCUCUCAGGCCUUGGGGUGUCUUUCUAAGCAGCACUGAUCCCCUGUGUUCUGUGUCUUGUGACUAGCCCGCCAUUAAGUGCUCCUCGGCUACCCUUGAGAACUUUUGUGUCUUGCCUGGCUUAAUUCUUUGAAAAGAGGAUAGCUGGGACAUUGGCUUCCUGGAUCUAACCUUUCCGAGAUGCCAGGAUUCUGGGAUCUCUGUGGACACCUGUCUGUCCUGGUGCUGCAUGCCCAGCCUGCGCCAAGCUCCCACCAGCCUUAUUUAUUUAUUGAACAACAUGCAAGCACAGUUUCCCUUUGUGCUUAAUGUGUCAGCGCUUCACUGGAUUCGGACUUCAAGGCUUGGAUUUUGUUGACAAUAAUGAGAUCACCCAGACAAUUAUCGUUUGAUUUUUCAGUUUGCUGGAAGAUUAAAGAAAGUUAAG